AUAUAUAUAUAGAACUAGGCUACUAUGCUAUUAAUAGCACCAAGUCGUUGAUGCUACCAAGUUUUUGGCCAUUGGAUUAAGAGAUGUGUGGUUAGGAUGAUGUGGGCUCUCUAGGGUUGAGUGGGUGGUUUGUUGAAUAGUAUGAUCUAAUGGGUGAAAAUGAUCCAAAGGGUAGAUCUGACGGCGAAAAACUUGGUAGCAUCAAGUGCUUCGUGCUAUUAACAGCAUAGUAGCCGGACUCUAUAUAUAUAGUUUG
rnacentral:lncRNA from 1 species